rnacentral:rRNA from 1 species
CCUACGGGAGGCAUCAUUGAGGCAUCUUGGUCAAUGGCCGGAAGGCUGAACCAGCCAUGCCGCGUGAAGGUCAGUGCCCUAUGGGCGUUAAACUUCUUUUGUGCGGUCUCCCUCCUGGUCCCGUGUGGCCCGACGAGAGUCCCGUACGAAUAAGCAUCGGCUAACUCCGUGCCAGCCGCCGCGGUACUACGGAGGCUCCGCGCGUUCUCCGGAUUUAUUGGUGUUACCGGGAGCGUCGAGGGGGGGUGAAGUCAGUUGUGAAAGUUUGCGGCUCAACCGUAAAAUUGCAAUUGAUACUGGCAGCCUUGAGUACAGUUGAGGUAGGCGGAAUUCGUGGUGUAGCGGUGAAAUGCUUAGAUAUCACGAAGAACUCCGAUUGCGAAGGCAGCCUACUAAACUGCCACUGACAUUGAUGCUCGAAAGUGUGGGUAUCAAACAGGAUUAGAGACCCUAGUAGUC